CUCGCGGGGGCCCCAACACGGUCCCUGUGCUGAUUGGCUGGUCGGGCGGGGGCGGGGAUGCUGGGCGGGGCCGCCUCCAGUUAGAAAAAGCCCGGGCUAGGGCCCGAGGAGCAGGGUGUGGGAGGGGGGUGGUGGGAGGGAGGGGGGGGCACGGGGGAAACUGGGGAAGCGGGGGAGCGGAGGGGUAACCGGGGGAAUAUGGGGAAGUGGGGUGCAGGGAAGUUUGCGUGGGGUGGGCCAAGGAUCACCUUGGACAUCUGGAGCCUGGCAGGAGCGGACUCGUGAAGGGGCUGGCUUGGGGCGCCCCGCAGGCCGGGCAACAUCUGCGUGGGAGGGUAAAAGACCCAAGCUAGCAGCCUGGAGGAGAAGAGGGGGGAGCCAGGCAUUCAUCCCGGUCAAUUUUGGUUUCAGGUCGUGGCGGCUGGUGGACAGGGGAGCUGCAGAGAGGCUCGCCCUGGAGCCGGGGCCGUGGAGGUGUCGCUGGCAGCCGUGGGCAGGGGAAGACAGCGCUCUGCCGGCCAGGUGA
rnacentral:lncRNA from 1 species